UUGUGAGGUUAAGCGACUAAGCGUACACGGUGGAUGCCCUGGCAGUCAGAGGCGAUGAAGGACGUGCUAAUCUGCGAUAAGCGUCGGUGAGGUGAUAUGAACCGUUAUAACCGGCGAUUUCCGAAUGGGGAAACCCAGUGUGUUUCGACACACUAUCAUUAACUGAAUCCAUAGGUUAAUGAGGCGAACCGGGGGAACUGAAACAUCUAAGUACCCCGAGGAAAAGAAAUCAACCGAGAUUCCCCCAGUAGCGGCGAGCGAACGGGGAGGAGCCCAGAGCCUGAAUCAGUGUGUGUGUUAGUGGAAGCGUCUGGAAAGGCGCGCGAUACAGGGUGACAGCCCCGUACACAAAAAUGCACAUAUUGUGAGCUCGAUGAGUAGGGCGGGACACGUGGUAUCCUGUCUGAAUAUGGGGGGACCAUCCUCCAAGGCUAAAUACUCCUGACUGACCGAUAGUGAACCAGUACCGUGAGGGAAAGGCGAAAAGAACCCCGGCGAGGGGAGUGAAAAAGAACCUGAAACCGUGUACGUACAAGCAGUGGGAGCCUCUUAAUGGGGUGACUGCGUACCUUUUGUAUAAUGGGUCAGCGACUUAUAUUCUGUAGCAAGGUUAACCGAAUAGGGGAGCCGAAGGGAAACCGAGUCUUAACUGGGCGUUAAGUUGCAGGGUAUAGACCCGAAACCCGGUGAUCUAGCCAUGGGCAGGUUGAAGGUUGGGUAACACUAACUGGAGGACCGAACCGACUAAUGUUGAAAAAUUAGCGGAUGACUUGUGGCUGGGGGUGAAAGGCCAAUCAAACCGGGAGAUAGCUGGUUCUCCCCGAAAGCUAUUUAGGUAGCGCCUCGUGAAUUCAUCUCCGGGGGUAGAGCACUGUUUCGGCAAGGGGGUCAUCCCGACUUACCAACCCGAUGCAAACUGCGAAUACCGGAGAAUGUUAUCACGGGAGACACACGGCGGGUGCUAACGUCCGUCGUGAAGAGGGAAACAACCCAGACCGCCAGCUAAGGUCCCAAAGUCAUGGUUAAGUGGGAAACGAUGUGGGAAGGCCCAGACAGCCAGGAUGUUGGCUUAGAAGCAGCCAUCAUUUAAAGAAAGCGUAAUAGCUCACU
rnacentral:rRNA from 1 species